CGAGCUUCGUAGUCCCCCAGGGCGCCUCGGUCGGUGACGGGUUCGAAGCCCGCUCUGCGUGAAGACAAGCGCGCCCUGAAAGUGCCGCUUUUCUGGGAGGAGAAGCGCUGCAGGGAAGCCUGGGUGGGGAUCAGGGGCGGGAGGGAGCGGCUUCUCCAGCCAGAGCCCGCCAGCCAUCUCCCCCCCCCCGCCUCCUCCUCCCUCCGGGGGUUGGCAUGGAGUGCGACUCGUCUCUCUCCCAACCAAGGGGUUACACAGGCUGGGGAGUGCGGGGGGGGUUACAAAUACUGUUGCCCCGUGUAUCUGGAGGGGGCUUCCGAAGGGGAAGGCUGUGCGGGCGAUCCGUUUUGCUUGGCCAGGGGAAGAAAAUCACAAGGCGGCCACAGAUUGCGCUUUUGCUUGCUUGCUUGCUUGCUUUUGCUCAUAUGCUUGCGUAAUCUCUACUCCGCUUUCUACUUUCGGUCUCACCGCCCCGGAGGGCGAGGUAAGUGGCGGUGGAGCUCUGAUGCUUUUGAAAUUUAAAAAAAAAAGAAGAAGAAGGAAGAAGGGCGGGGCUCUAAAAGCUGAUUGGUAAUCCGGGGCGAAGGGUCCCCACGGAGCCAAAUCCGCGCCUGCCGAGCGCCCUAAGUUACCCUUCUUCUUCUUUUGCCCUCUCCUAACCGAGCUCCAUCCCGUCAAAGGAGGACUUUCUUCGCUUCGCGCCCCCCGCCGGGAGGGAACUUCGAGACUCUCCUCCCGAGAGCUGCAGAAAGGCUCAGUUUUCACCGAGGAGCCACAGUGCAGCCUCUGCGGCCUUGCCUAUUCCCCUCUGCCUUAUCUGGGCUGCGAUCCCAUCCACAAGCAUCCCAACUGAAGUGCCUAAAGGAUUCCCUUCUGAAGGAGAAAGCAUAUGGCUGGCUGUGGAAUUCUGAGGGCUUCGGCAGCGUUCUUAUAUUGACUAUCGAAACUGGGCAGAAGAACUCAGAACGUCAGUGCCAAGAGAGGAGAACCAAAAAUAGAACGAAACGAGUCAAAAUGGCAAGAUGUAUUAACGCUUAAAAGAGAGACGCCUCCUAUUUAUGUCUCGUUUUUGAAGUAAAAAAUAAAAACAACAGCUAAAAUAAGUGGACCUCUGAAAAUGCGGUAAGGCAAUGCUGUAAAAUCGGCUUUGAGUCAUUUGUGUAUUGGAAAAUAAAUAUAUUAUUUAUUUUGUAAAAUAGAAAAAUAAUUGUGCACACAGAA